rnacentral:rRNA from 1 species
UGCAAGUGGUAGGAAGGCCGAAAGGUGACGGACCCUUCGGGGAGGCUUGCACAGGUGCUGCAUGGCUGUCGUCAGCUCGUGUCGUGAGAUGUUCGGUUAAGUCCGCUAACGAGCGCAACCCUCGCUGUGUGUUAUAUGUGUCACACGGGACUGCCGGUCUUAAGCCGGAGGAAGGUGGGGAUGAUGUCAAGUCAGCAUGGCCUUUAUAUCCUGGGCUACACACACGCUACAAUGGCCAACACAAUGGGUUGCUAAGCCGCGAGGUGGCGCCAAUCCAUAAAGUUGGUCUCAGUUCAGAUUGUAGGCUGCAACCCGCCUGCAUGAAGAUGGAGUUGCUAGUAAACGCAGGUCAGCCAUACUGCGUUGAAUACGUUCCCGGGGCUU